rnacentral:rRNA from 1 species
AGGACGAACGCUGGCGGCGUGCUUAACACAUGCAAGUCGAGCGGAAAGGUCCUUCGGGGUACUCGAGCGGCGAACGGGUGAGUAACACGUGAGCAAUCUGCCCUUAGCUUCGGGAUAGCUCCGGGAAACCGGAAUUAAUACCGGAUAUGACUAUGGCUGACAUCAGCCACGGUGGAAAGUUUUUCGGCUAGGGAUGAGCUCGCGGCCUAUCAGCUAGUUGGUGGGGUAACGGCCUACCAAGGCGACGACGGGUA